rnacentral:rRNA from 1 species
AUUGAACGCUGGCGGCAUGCUUUACACAUGCAAGUCGAACGGUAACAGGCCGCAAGGUGCUGACGAGUGGCGAACGGGUGAGUAAUGCAUCGGAACGUGCCCAGUCGUGGGGGAUAACGCAGCGAAAGCUGCGCUAAUACCGCAUACGAUCUCUGGAUGAAAGCGGGGGACCGAAAGGCCUCCCGCGAUUGGAGCGGCCGGUGUCAGAUUAGGUAGUUGGUGGGGUAAAGGCCCACCAAGCCAACGAUCUGUAGCUGGUCUGAGAGGACGACCAGCCACACUGGGACUGAGACACGGCCCAGACGCCUACGGGAGGCAGCAGUGGGGAAUUUUGGACAAUGGGCGCAAGCCUGAUCCAGCAAUGCCGCGUGCAGGAAGAAGGCCUUCGGGUUGUAAACUGCUUUUGUACGGAACGAAACGGUCCGGGUUAAUACCCUGGGCUAAUGACGGUACCGUAAGAAUAAGCACCGGCUAACUACGUGCCAGCCGCCGCCGUAAUAC